AAAGAAUGGCUUACAUUACAUGAGUGAUCUCUCUCUGGAAAGGAGAAUAGACAGGUCAGCAGUGGCUCUGUGUAAGAUCAGAAUUUUCUAAUUUUGUGGUGUCUCCCUUAGAAUGCACUCCAUGCAUGUGCAGGUGCCAUUUGGCCCUCAUGGAGUUGACCUAUGGGAAUUGGGGAUCGAGGCACCAGAUGGGGCUCUGGGUGCUGCUUUUGAAGAGUAGUGAGCCAUCUUAGCUCCUGAGGCAGGGCCCUUGUGUCUUCCGCCAGUGUCUGUCUAUCUAUUGUCAGCAAGUAUGACUGUCAGGAGCUGACUAUUAUAUUUCUACUGGGGCAAAAACCUCAGAUCCUUUCCAGUUCCUGACUUAACAGUUGGCAAGGCCUACGCUAUCCCCCCAUGUUCCAGGCCAGUGAAUUUAAACUUUAACUGACAGGAAAUCUUUACAGAGAUAAGUCAUGAUAUUGGAUUUGUGUUUUUAAAAGAAGGAGUUAGAGGCUGGGGUUAGAAGAUGAGUCCAUAGGGCACUAGGCACUUCUCUCUUCAUGGUGCUAUUGCAAUCUUCUGACAAAUAGCCCAUCCAACUGCUUCUUCGUUUUUAUAGACAGAAGCUGAAUCUAUGUGGCAAGAGCCAGUUUUGAUAGCUGUUGUGAUGGACUCUUCAUACUCUCUGAGGAGCCUUUAUGACCAAGGACAGCAUUGUUGUCCUGUCUGAUUCACACAAGGGGAACCUCAUAGUGCUGCCAACUUUUUUGAUUGCACCUGUAUCAGUAAAGCUUUUUGAAUUUGCAUAGAAAUAUAUCCAUAUUUAUUGAUUUAUUACUAUAUGAAUGUACUGCUUUACUAAUACGAUGUAUACAUUAUUAAAUACUCUUACAGCAUCUGAAGAUUAAAUUUUAAAAUCGAAAAAUAAGAGCUUUAUUAAUAACCCAAACUCUGUGCUCUCUCUAAUAUAUUGUGAUUAAUACCAAAUUCUUUUCAAAGCAAUGGUAUGAAUAUGCUUUAUUGGCUUUUUUUGUUGGUCCUUCUUGAUUUAAUGCUUUUUGACCUAGAAAUGUGAACUUUGGGAUUCUACAUUCAGUUUAAUUUGAAAUACGGUUUUCAUGGCAGUCAACUGCAGCUAAGGAUGCCUCAUAGAGAUGCUUCGAUGCACAUAGGGGAAGUCCGUCUUUGGGUCCUCUUCAUAAAUCAUGGAAAAUACCCCAAAGAAUUAAAAAGAAGAAAGCUGUGAAUUAAACCCCAAAGCCCACUACUGGAGAAUGAGCUCUCUUUUUGCCUGCUGCCAUCCAUGUCAGACGCAACUUGUUUCUCCUUGCCUUCUGCCAUGAUUGUGAGACUUCCCCAGACACUUGGAACUGCACAAAAACGUGUUUUGAACCUACUCUAACCAACUGUCAAAAGGCUGUGUUAAGUGAUUCUCUGACAAGGACACAAUUGGAGAAACUGCUUAUUUUACCAAGGUUUUGACUGGAAUGAUGUGCUUUCUUUUAAGGAAUCAAACUUGACUUACAGAGCCAAAAAUAGCUUCUUUGGAAAACUGUCCUCAUGCCUUGUCUGCACAGUCCCUUUACACAGUUUGCCACCCAUGGAAAAUAAAGAAUGUCACUUUCUCACAGGCCCAGGAGCUUCAAAUUGUCUUGGGACCUCAAGAGGAGAGGAAUUUAGCCAAAUCAUGCAGGUAUUUGAUAGCACACACCCAUGGCUGGGCUUAAGGCUUGAAAAAGUCUUAUCUGAGAUUCCUUAUGGAACAAAGUUUCAUCAAAGCCAACUUAAAAAGGAGCCUAAAUGGCAAAUAAUUAUUCUUGCUGUGUAUUAUGCAGAUAAUCAAGCCAAGUAUAAUAAGGCUAAAGCUUAUUUUACAAACAAAUGAGUCCCAUCAUGAUUUAUUUGUAAUAAAAAUGAGGACUGUAGAGAGAAAAAUGAUGUUUCAAGAACUGUGGUACACCUGUUAUUAGAUUCUAUUCUCCACAGUAGUUUUUGUAUUUUCAUCUGCAAUUUAGACUAACCCUGCCUAUUCCAUGAACCAACCAGUGAUCUCUGGCUACAGCUCAGAAGAAACUAGAGAGAUGGACCUUCAAGCUCCAAAUUAUCCUCAGUGAGGAUACCAUCUUCUAAAUACUCAGGAGUCACCCUUCUAUAGAAGACCACUAGGCUGCCCAUCAGUGGAACACAAAAAAGGCAACAUCCUAUUCAUGUUUCCCUUGGACCUAACUGGAUAGCAAUUUCACCAACCCACAGAGCCACUCUGCCCUGACAGUUAUCAAGAGGCCAAAACCCACAGAACAACUUUCACCACCCCUCUCUCAGUAGGAAGCAGUUAUAGACGCCUGAUCUUUGUCCAUUUUCCCCAAGAACUGGGUCUUGGACUAUUGAGGGGGAAUGUUAGAGUAGGUAGUUAGUCAGACAUGAGCAGGGCAUGAAAGUGGCUCAUUCUCCCCAGGAAUAUCAGGUGACCAUCAGGUGAUGGUCAAGCAGUUGUUAACCUGUCUCUCUAAAAUAAUUGGUUGCAACGGGUGCCAGAGAAAGGCCGUCUCCCAAUACAAACACGUGAAAUCGGUAAAGACAGCCUUACUGUCCAUCAAUACUGGAUUGCAGACUUUUUUUUAUAUUUUGUCUUAGGUUCAGGGUUCAGGUGCAGGUUUGUAAAUUGCACGUCAUGGGGGUUUGGUGUAGAGAUUAUUUUGUCACCCAGGUACCAAUCACUUGAAUAGAGAGUCCCUUCCCCAGUGCUUGUUUUUAUUAAUUGUGAGAAAUCAGAUUAUUGUAGUUGCGCAGCAUUACUUCUGGGCUCUCUGUUCUGUUCCAUUGAUCCAUGUGUCUGUUUUUGUACAAGUGUCAUGCUGUUUUCGUUACUGUAGCUUUUCAAUAUAGUUUGAAGUUGGGUAAUGUAAUGCCUCCACAUUUGUUCUGCCUGUCCGUUAGAGUCUUUCUUGGUUCCUUGUAAAUUUUAACAUAGUGUUUUUUUCUAGUUCCAAGAAGAAUGUCAUUGAUAGUUUGAUUGAAUAUCAUUAAGUCUGUAAAUUGCUUUGGGCAGUAUGGCCAUUUUAACAAUAUCAAUUCUUCUUAUCCAUGAGCAUGGAAUGGUUUUCCAUUUGUUUUUCUUGUCUCUGAUUUCCUUUGAGCACUGUUUUGUAAUUCUUAUGGUAGAGAUAUUUCCCCUUCGUGGUUAUCUGUAUUCCUAGAUAUGAUGCUCAUUUACCAUUCCAACAAUCCUAGGGCACACACACAUACACACAGGUACACACAUAUACAUGGAGGCAUGCACACAGACACACCUACAUUCACACACACAGGCACACACUUGCAUACACAUACACACUAGCACACACACACACACAUACACACAGGCACACACGCAUACACAUUACAGCAUCUAUUUUUGGCUAACAAUAAUAAAUGAGUCCAUAACACCCAACCUUUCCAGUUUCCAACCAGCUGAGGCCUGCAGAUCAUUUAUGAUGCUUUUUUCCUUCAUUCCCAAGUACUUUUUCCACAUUGAUGCCACAGGCAUUUAUUGAGUGCCCCCUGUGUGCCUGACUUCUAAGCCUAGAAGUGACUAAAGUCAAUGCGCCGGUAUCUCAUGCAGGGGGUUAUACAAGGCUGUGCCCCGCUCAGCAGCAGCAGAACCUCUGUGGGAGGUCUGAGAGGGAGGAACACUGCGGCCAGAUCCAGGACAUAUCACAGCGAGAGCAGCCGGGUGCAGAAGCCCAAGAGCCGCUCCCAUGCAUGUGACCAGCUGGUUUCACCCAUGGCACAGACCUUAUCUCACCAAGCUAGCAUUGCCUGUGGGCAAAGUCAGGACCACAGCAAGUGCACAUUGUCCCUCAAAUUUCAAAGAGGUAGUGGAUUAAUGACUCAAUCUGAGAGUCUGUGCUUGUGAGCUUCCCAGAAAACAAACUUGCAGGACAAAAGAACCCACAGUGCACACUGGACCUGCUUCCUGUUCCUGCAAUGCCCUAGGUGAAAACACAGAGUGUUGGGGAGGUUUUUAUUUCACUUCCCACCUUUUUUACUGUAUGAAAUUUAAUCACACAUGUAUUAAUUUUAUUUUUGUCAGCCAGGAAAUUAUGGGACAUUCUGUUCUGUUCUCUUUAGCUCUGUUCUGUAGUUAACAACAGUAAUAAAAGGUGGACAUAACAUA